UACAGAGGGUGCAAGCGUUAUUCGGAAUUACUGGGCGUAAAGCGCAUGUAGGCGGUUCGAUAAGUCUGAUGUGAAAGCCCCCGACUCAAUCGGGGAAGUGCAUCGGAUACUGCCGGACUGGAGUACAGGAGAGGAGAACGGAAUUCCUGGUGUAGAGGUGAAAUUCGUAGAUAUCAGGAGGAACAACUGUGGCGAAGGCGGUUCUCUGGACUGUAACUGACGCUGAGAUGCGAAAGCGUGGGGAGCAAACAGG
rnacentral:rRNA from 1 species